UGGGCCAAUGAUGACUCCUGGAGUGGGGGCUGGGUCUGAAUCCAAAACCGUGAUUAACCCCUGCCUGGAAAUCUGGGGACUGU
rnacentral:snoRNA from 1 species